CUUCCAGUAGCACCUUAGAGACCAACUAAGUUUGUUAUUGGUAUGAGCUUUCGUGUGCAUGCACACUUCUUCAGAUGUAUAUCAAUAACAAACUUAGUUGGUCUCUAAGGUGCUACUGGAAG